rnacentral:lncRNA from 1 species
AUAGUACUAUUUCCUCAUGGCACAAUGAUCAACGAAAAUAAUCCUACCUAACUUCCUACUUAUCAUCCAUUUAAUUAUGUGAUUAACUAGUCCUUAUAAACAAGUGAUUCAUUCAAGCCUAGACUUUUUGAUGCCCAUGUAGUCAAUCGUGGUUGGAAGAAUGAAGAGUCAUGCAUCGGACCCGAGAUAACCAUUAAAUGUAUGGAUAGUUGAACCUAUCAAAAGAGAAUUUUUAAGAUUUGGAAAUAUACCUAUUAAAAGCGAACGGAGGGAGUAAACAUAAGGAACAUGGGUAAAUCGAGGGUCCAAAUGGUAAACCUGGAUAGACAUAAUAAGUUAAUAACUCUAUAAUAAGCAACUCGUGAAAAUGAGAGCAAGUUGAACAUUGGGAUAAAAGAUAGAUUUAGUAAACUUAUUUUAUAAAGAAAAACACCUUGAUGAAUAUAACCAAAAGUUUGAAAAAUAUUACUGAACAAAUAUCUAAGAAAAGAAAACAUAGCAUCUCUGUAGAUGUGCUCGUGCUCUUUUUGCCUCGGUUGUAAAAAGUUU